ACGGGAGGCAGCAGUGGGGAAUAUUGCACAAUGGGGGAAACCCUGAUGCAGCAACGCCGCGUGAGUGAAGAAGUAUCUCGGUAUGUAAAGCUCUAUCAGCAGGGAAGAAAAAAGACGGUACCUGACUAAGAAGCACCGGCUAAAUACGUGCCAGCAGCCGCGGUAAUACGUAUGGUGCAAGCGUUAUCCGGAUUUACUGGGUGUAAAGGGAGCGCAGGCGGUCUUGCAAGCCAGAGGUGAAAACCCGGGGCUCAACCCCGCGGAUUGCCUUUGGAACUGUAGGACUUGAGUACCGGAGGGGCAGGCGGAAUUCCUGGUGUAGCGGUGAAAUGCGUAGAUAUCAGGAGGAACACCGGUGGCGAAGGCGGCCUGCUGGACAGAAACUGACGCUGAGGCUCGAAAGCGUGGGGAGCAAACAGGAUUAGAUACCCUGGUA
rnacentral:rRNA from 1 species